UACGUAGGGUGCUAGCGUUAAUCGGAAUUACUGGGCGUAAAGCGUGCGCAGGCGGUUCUCCAAGUCCGUUGUGAAAGCCCCGGGCUCAACCUGGGAAUGGCAGUGGAAACUAGGGGACUGGAAUCUGGCAGAGGGGGGUGGAAUGCCGCGUGUAGCAGUGAAAUGCGUAGAGAUGCGGCGGAACACCGAUGGCGAAGGCAGCCCCCUGGGCUGAGAUUGACGCUCAGGCACGAAAGCGUGGGGAGCAAACAGG
rnacentral:rRNA from 1 species